rnacentral:rRNA from 1 species
ACACAUGCAGUCGAACGGCAGCAUGAUCUAGCUUGCUAGAUUGAUGGCGAGUGGCGAACGGGUGAGUAAUACAUCGGAACGUGCCCUGUAGUGGGGGAUAACUAGUCGAAAGAUUAGCUAAUACCGCAUACGACCUGAGGGUGAAAGUGGGGGACCGCAAGGCCUCAUGCUAUAGGAGCGGCCGAUGUCUGAUUAGCUAGUUGGUGAGGUAAAGGCUCACCAAGGCGACGAUCAGUAGCUGGUCUGAGAGGACGAUCAGCCACACUGGGACUGAGACACGGCCCAGACUCCUACGGGAGGCAGCAGUGGGGAAUUUUGGACAAUGGGCGAAAGCCUGAUCCAGCAAUGCCGCGUGUGUGAAGAAGGCCUUCGGGUUGUAAAGCACUUUUGUCCGGAAAGAAAUGGCUCUGGUUAAUACCUGGGGUCGAUGACGGUACCGGAAGAAUAAGGACCGGCUAACUACGUGCCAGCAGCCGCGGUAAUACGUAGGGUCCAAGCGUUAAUCGGAAUUACUGGGCGUAAAGCGUGCGCAGGCGGUUGUGCAAGACCGAUGUGAAAUCCCCGAGCUUAACUUGGGAAUUGCAUUGGUGACUGCACGGCUAGAGUGUGUCAGAGGGGGGUAGAAUUCCACGUGUAGCA